rnacentral:ncRNA from 1 species
UUGAGCCGUAUGCGGGGAAACUCGCACGUACGGUUCUUAGGGGAGGGGUAACCAGUAAUGGUUGCUCCUUACCCGAC